GACGUAGGGGGCCAGCGUUGUUCGGAAUUACUGGGUGUAAAGGGUCCGUAGGCGGUGCGGCAAGUCGGGAGUGAAAUCUCUGGGCUUAACCCAGAGGCUGCUUCCGAAACUGCUGUGCUUGAGUGUGGGAGAGGCGCGUGGAAUUGCAGGUGUAGCGGUGAAAUGCGUAGAUAUCUGCAGGAACACCCGUGGCGAAAGCGGCGCGCUGGACCACAACUGACGCUGAAUGACGAAAGCUAGGGGAGCAAACAGG
rnacentral:rRNA from 1 species